rnacentral:rRNA from 1 species
UUUAAUGAGAGUUUGAUCCUGGCUCAGGACGAACGCUGGCGGCGUGCCUAAUACAUGCAAGUAGAACGCUGAGGUUUGGUGUUUACACUAGACUGAUGAGUUGCGAACGGGUGAGUAACGCGUAGGUAACCUGCCUCAUAGCGGGGGAUAACUAUUGGAAACGAUAGCUAAUACCGCAUAAGAGUAAUUAACACAUGUUAGUUAUUUAAAAGGAGCAAUUGCUUCACUGUGAGAUGGACCUGCGUUGUAUUAGCUAGUUGGUGAGGUAAAGGCUCACCAAGGCGACGAUAC